GACGAACGCUGGCGGCGUGCUUAACACAUGCAAGUCGAACGGAAAGGCCCUUCGGGGUACUCGAGUGGCGAACGGGUGAGUAACACGUGGGUGAUCUGCCCUGCACUUUGGGAUAAGCCUGGGAAACUGGGUCUAAUACCGAAUAGGACCACGCGCUUCAUGGUGUGUGGUGGAAAGCUUUUGCGGUGUGGGAUGGGCCCGCGGCCUAUCAGCUUGUUGGUGGGGUAAUGGCCUACCAAGGCGACGACGGGUAGCCGGCCUGAGAGGGUGACCGGCCACACUGGGACUGAGAUACGGCCCAGACUCCUACGGGAGGCAGCAGUGGGGAAUAUUGCACAAUGGGCGCAAGCCUGAUGCAGCGACGCCGCGUGAAGGAUGACGGCCUUCGGGUUGUAAACCUCUUUCAAUAGGGACGAAGCGCAAGUGACGGUACCUAUAGAAGAAGCACCGGCCAACUACGUG
rnacentral:rRNA from 1 species